GACGAAAACUGAUUUAUUUACUUGAAAAUUAAAGUUUAAUAAAAUCACAGGUUGGAUUGAAGUAGUAGGAAAUUAAAAAAAGGCUAAUCACAUAUUAUAAUAAGAAUUAAGGGGUUAAAACAAAAAAAAAACUUCCUAGAUCAAAAUUCGAAAGUUUUCAAAUCACCUUUUCUUUAUUUGCGUGUUUGUCCUUUUUCACAACGGUCGGAUCACGGAUUUUACAACAUAACGGUUCAAAAAUUUAACGCCGUUAGCAUCCUACCGUCUCACAAGUCA